GUUUUUCACCAAUGUAUUCAUGAAACACAAUAAAUCUUUUUAAUAUCAAAAUAAGAUCAUAUAUUUAGAAAUUUUUGUUUGUAAUCAAGAUCAUUGAAAGACACAUCAUUUGAACCAAUAUUAGUAUACUUUGAAGAUAAGAAAUGAUAUGUUUCGGAUGCGUAUCGGAGCAAUCACCAAAGGCAUCAAAAUUAAUUCUGUUUUUCUUAAAGUAAGACUUUAUUUAAAAAUCACAUUUAGUUUAAGCUUUUAUACAAAAUCAGAUUCUGAAUUACAUAGGAUUUUCAAUAGAAGCUUUCUAAGUCAUAAUAUGAGAUAUGGAUCUUCCACAUUGUAGCUCAUCUUAAAUCAUUAUGAUUGAAGACACAUAUUUCACACAUAUAAGAGGAUAUUCAGAAUAUUUGUAUUUAUGUUUAGCACAUUAUAUACCAAGGUUAAGAAAGUUGAAGGAUAGAACAAACUUAAUUCAUUUUGCCUAAAUAGAAAUAUCCUUCUCUUCUCCUUUUUACAAAUUUAUUCACCUUUCAUAUUUUAACGAUGAUUGUGAAUGACAAAUCUGAAAUUUCUUUUUAAUAAUACAAAAAAAAUUAUAUAGUAUUCCAAAUAUUCAAUCAAAUUAUCCAAGCAUGAAGCAUUGUAAAACAUUGAGAACCCAUAAAUCAAGACAUCAUACCAUAUGCAAAAUAUAUUAUGUGUUAAGCCAUGUAUUAAAAUAACAAGCAUGUCAAUGAUCAAAAUCAAUUCUUUUCAAAUAAAACUCCCCCUAUUUAAAUAUACUCUUGCAUUGAUUUCAUUCCUAAAUUGUGUUUUCAAGUGAUUAAAAAAAAAUUUGACUUGAUUCUUCUUAUAUACUUUCAUUAACUUUGUCUUUCAUGUUUACUUUCUUAUGCUCUAUACUCUAUUUGCUCCCUAUCCGGUGGAGUUGGGAAGGGGCACGAGGUACUACCACUAGCCUCCCUCUUGUGCCGUCCCUAAUAUGCCCCUACACCGAAU
rnacentral:lncRNA from 1 species